UUGAUAAUUAUUUAAGGUCGGGCCUGCCCAAUGAUUUUUGAAUGGCCGCAGUAUUUUGACUGUGCAAAGGUAGCAUAAUCAUUAGUUUCCUAAUUAGGAACUGGAAUGAAUGGUUUGAUGAGAAGUAAGCUGUCUCUUUUUGAUUUAGGUAGAAUUUUAUUUUUGAGUUAAAAAGCUUAAAUUUUGUAUAAAGACGAGAAGACCCUAUAGAGUUUGACAUUUUUUUUACUUGAAUAUUAGUUGGUUUCUUAUUUGUCAGGUUUUUAAUUUGUUUUGUUGGGGUGAUGAGAAAAUUUAUUAAACUUUUCUUUAUUGUAACGAUGAUUAACGGUUAUUUGAUCCUUUAUUUGGAUUACAAGA
rnacentral:rRNA from 1 species